rnacentral:rRNA from 1 species
UGCCCCAGUAACGGCGAGUGAAGCGGCAACAGCUCAAAUUUGAAAUCUGGCCCCCAGGGUCCGAGUUGUAAUUUGCAGAGGAUGCUUUUGGCGAGGUGCCUUCCGAGUUCCCUGGAACGGGACGCCAUAGAGGGUGAGAGCCCCGUCUGGUUGGACACCGAGCCUCUGUAAAGCUCCUUCGACGAGUCGAGUAGUUUGGGAAUGCUGCUCUAAAUGGGAGGUAUAUGUCUUCUAAAGCUAAAUAUUGGCCAGAGACCGAUAGUGCACAAGUAGAGUGAUCGAAAGAUGAAAAGCACUUUGAAAAGAGGGUUAAAUAGUACGUGAAAUUGUUGAAAGGGAAGCGCUCAUGACCAGACUUGGGCCCGGUGAAUCAUCCAGCGUUCUCGCUGGUGCACUUUGCCGGGCUCAGGCCAGCAUCAGUUUGCUCCGGGGGAUAAAGGCUUUGGGAAUGUGGCUCCUCCGGGAGUGUUAUAGCCCAUUGCACAAUACCCUGGGGCGGACUGAGGUUCGCGCAUUUAUGCAAGGAUGCUGGCGUAAUGGUCAUCAGCGACCCGUCUUGAAACACGGACCAAGGAGUCGUCUUCGUAUGCGAGUGUUCGGGUGUUAAACCCCUACGCGUAAUGAAAGUGAACGUAGGUGAGAGCUUCGGCGCAUCAUCGACCGAUCCUGAUGUUCUCGGAUGGAUUUGAGUAAGAGCAUACGGGGCCGGACCCG